rnacentral:rRNA from 1 species
GACGAACGCUGGCGGCGUGCUUAACACAUGCAAGUGGAGCGACGAACCAGGGCUUGCCCUGGGGCAGAGCCGCGAACGGGUGAGUAACACGUGGGUAACGUACCCCGAUGACUGGGACGAACCCGGGGAAACCCGGGCGUAAUACCGGAUGUGCACCCUCACAUCAGUGAGGUGUGUAAAGGAAGCUUCGGCCUCCGCGUUGGGAUCGGCCCGCGGCGCAUUAGCUUGUUGGUGAGGUAACGGCUCACCAAGGCCGCGAUGCGUAGCUGGUCUGAGAGGACGAUCAGCCACACUGGGACUGAGACACGGCCCAGACUCCUACGGGAGGCAGCAGUGGGGAAUCUUGCGCAAUGCGCGAAAGCGUGACGCAGCAACGCCG